rnacentral:rRNA from 1 species
CCUACGGGAGGCAGCAGUAGGGAAUCUUUCACAAUGGGCGAAAGCCUGAUGGAGCAACGCCGCGUGCAGGAUGAAGGCCUUCGGGUUGUAAACUGCUUUUAUAAGCGAGAAAUAUGAUGGUAACUUAUGAAUAAGGAUCGGCUAAUUACGUGCCAGCAGCCGCGGUCAUACGUAGGAUCCGAGCAUUAUCCGGAGUGACUGGGUGUAAAGAGUUGCGUAGGUGGCAUAAUAAGUAGCUAGUGAAAUCUGGUGGCUCAACCAUUCAGACUAUUAGCUAAAAUGUUAAGCUCGAGACCGUUAGGGGUAACUGGAAUGUCUAGUGUAGGAGUGAAAUCCGUAGAUAUUAGAAGGAACACCAAUAGCGUAGGCAGGUUGCUGGGACGGUUCUGACACUAAGGCACGAAAGCGUAGGGAGCAAACGGGAUUAGAUACCCGAGUAGUC